UGCGUAGGCGGACUAGUAAGUCAGUGGUGAAAUCUUUCGGCUCAACCGAGAAACUGCCGUUGAUACUGUUAGUCUUGAGUUCGGUAGAGGUAGGCGGAAUGUGUAAUGUAGCGGUGAAAUGCUUAGAUAUUACACAGAACACCAAUUGCGUAGGCAGCUUACUAGACCGACACUGACGCUGAGGCACGAAAGCGUGGGUAGCGAACAGGAUUAGAUACCCUGGUAGUCC
rnacentral:rRNA from 1 species